GUUCAUUCUCUGUUGUCUGGAGGGAAGGUGAACAUUUGACACCGAGAGAGUCUAUUCUUUGAGGGAUCAAUAACCUGAUGGAUGUGAAGACAGAAGUGGGAUCAUUAUAUGGUGUGGUGGCCUGUCCGUGACCCCACAGUGGAGUGCUGUGCCCUACUGGGUGUGCCACGGGGGGUGGUGGUUAAAGAGCCAACGCAACCUCUGAGAUGUCUGGUGGAGUGUUAUGUUAUAUGUGCAAAAAUGAGCUGACCUCAAACAAAGUGCAGCUGAGAGUGUUGAGACUCGAUUUGUGGGCUGAGCCACGUAAAGUGGCUGACCGGAGCUGGCUCACAAGAUUAAAC